UUGAAAUCCAAUGGGAUGUUGCUGGCUUUCACAGGCCGUGCACUCCCGCCUCUACAUCCACCUGUGCACUCGCUGUAGACUAGGAUUGAUUUCCGAGUCUAUGUCUUCAUAUACCCUUUUCUAAAGUCAAUGAAUGUAUUCUUAGGCUUCAGCCAAAAAAAUAAAAUA
rnacentral:misc_RNA from 1 species